ACAUUAAAAAAUAAAAAAAAUUUGAUGCAACUUAAUGUUAAUUUUAUAUUUGACGAAAAUUAAUUACAAGAAUCACAAACAAUGAUUUCUCUUCUCAUUCACUAACUACUGGGGAACUACGAUACCUACUAAAAUUAUUUCACUAACUAAUGGUGGACUACUAUACCUACUAAAAUUUUUUGAUGUACUUAUUACACCAUUUAAAUUCUGAAAUUAAUUUUUAUAACUAAUUUUCAAAAUUAAAUUUUAAAAUAACUACCUACAGCAUCGCACGGGUCCCUUAACUAGUAUUUAAUUAAUUUACAUUUUAUUU
rnacentral:lncRNA from 1 species